UACGUAGGGGGCUAGCGUUGUCCGGAAUUAUUGGGCGUAAAGAGCUUGUAGGCGGUUUGUCGCGUCUGCUGUGAAAAUCCGGGGCUCAACCCCGGACUUGCAGUGGGUACGGGCAGACUAGAGUGUGGUAGGGGAGACUGGAAUUCCUGGUGUAGCGGUGGAAUGCGCAGAUAUCAGGAGGAACACCGAUGGGCGAAGGCAGGUCUCUGGGCCACUACUGACGCUGAGAAGCGAAAGCAUGGGGAGCGAACAGG
rnacentral:rRNA from 1 species